rnacentral:lncRNA from 1 species
AGGGGAUGUCCUGAUAUGUGUGUAAGGAAUGCAUUGUGUGAAUCUGUGUUUGUAUGUGUAAGGGCUGCAAUGUGUGUUUCAAUGUAUGUACGGGAUGCAGUGUGUGCGUGUGUAAGGGGUGCAUUGAGUGUGUGUAAGGAAUGCAUUGUGUUUCUGUGUGUGUAAGGGAUGCAUUGUGUGUAAGGGUUGAAUUGCUUGUGUGUGUGUGUGUGUGUGUCUGUGUGUGUAAUGCAUUGUGCGUUUUUCUGUGUGCAAGGGGUGCAUUGUGUGUGUGUGUGUGAUGGAUGUCAAUCUCUC